rnacentral:tRNA from 1 species
GCCUGGGUGGCUCAGUCUGUUGAGCAUCAGACUUUGAGUCAGGUCAUGAUCUCACGGUUUGUGGGAUCGAGCCCCAUGUCAGGCU